rnacentral:rRNA from 1 species
GUCGAACGAGAGUUUUUAACUCUAGUGGCGAACGGGUGCGUAAUACGUGAGAAUCUGCCCUUAGGAGAAGAAUAACUACUGGAAACGGUAGCUAAGUCUUCAUAUGCCGAGAGGUGAAAUAGUUUCAACUGCCUAAGGAUGAGCUCACGCCUGAUUAGCUUGUUGGUGAGGUAACGGCUUACCAAGGCCACGAUCAGUAGCUGGUUUGAGAGAACGAUCAGCCACACUGGGACUGAGACACGGCCCAGACUCCUCCGGGAGGCAGCAGUGAGGAAUUUUCCGCAAUGGGCGAAAGCCUGACGGAGCAAUACCGCGUGAGGGAUGAAGGAUUUUGGUCUGUAAACCUCUUUUCUCAAGAAAGAAGUUCUGACGGUACUUGAGGAAUAAGCAUCGGCUAACUCCGUGCCAGCAGCCGCGGUAAUACGGGGGAUGCAAGCGUUAUCCGGAAUCAUUGGGCGUAAAGCGCCUGUAGGUUGUUUAGUAAGUCUGUUGUUAAAGACCAGGGCUUAACCCUGGGAAAGCAAUGGAAACUACUAGACUGGAGUAUGGCAGGGGUAGAGGGAAUUUCUAGUGUAGCGGUGAAAUGCGUAGAUAUUAGAAAGAACACCGGCGGCGAAAGCGCUCUACUGGACCAUUACUGACACUCAGAGGCGAAAGCUAGGGGAGCAAAAGGGAUUAGAUACCCCUGUAGUCCUAGCCGUAAACGAUGGAUACUAGAUGUUGCGCAAUUUGUGCAGUAUCUUAGCUAACGCGUUAAGUAUCCCGCCUGGGGAGUACGCUCGCAAGGGUGAAACUCAAAGGAAUUGACGGGGGCCCGCACAAGCGGUGGAGCAUGUGGUUUAAUUCGAUGCAACGCGAAGAACCUUACCAGGGCUUGACAUACUACAAAUCUUUUCGAAACGAAAGAGUGCCUUCGGGAUGUAGAUACAGGUGGUGCAUGGCUGUCGUCAGCUCGUGUCGUGAGAUGUUGGGUUAGUCCCGCACGAGCGCAUCCUCAUUUUAGUGCAUUUAUGGGAUUUCUAGAGAGACUGCGUGACAACGGAGAGGUGAGAUGACGUCAGUCAGCAUGCCCUUAUGACUGGCCACCACGUGCUACAUGCGAGACAGAGUCGCAACUGCAGGCUACUAUCUCGUAACUCCUCUAAGUCGAUGCAGCUGCCACUCCCCUGCGUGAUGAAUCGCUAGUAUCACUGGUCACCUAUACACGGGUGAAUGUUUCCCGGCGAGUAAAACCGCGCGCGUCCACAAUGAAACCGUUUUUAUCUCCCCGU